UCCGAGUUGACCCCGGCAGUCUCCCAUGAGUCCCCGCCAUUACGCGCUGGCAACAUGGAACGAGGGUUGCGCUCGUUGCGGGACUUAACCCAACAUCUCACGACACGAGCUGACGACAACCAUGCACCACCUGUGAACCGGCCCCAAAAGGAGAAACCACAUCUCUGCGGCGGUCCGGUCCAUGUCCAGCCUGGGUAAGGUUCUUCGCGUUGCGUCGAAUUAAACCACAUGCUCCACCGCUUGUGCGGGCCCCCGUCAAUUCCUUUGAGUUUCAACCUUGCGGCCGUACUUCCCAGGCGGGAUACUUAAUGCGUUAGCUGCGGCACGGAUCCCGUUGAUAAGGCCCCACACCUAGUGCCCAACGUUUACGGCGUGGACUAC
rnacentral:misc_RNA from 1 species